ACAUGAAAAAUGACUCUCGGCAACGGAUAUCUCGGCUCUCGCAUCGAUGAAGAACGUAGCAAAAUGCGAUACUUGGUGUGAAUUGCAGAAUCCCGUGAACCAUCGAAUCUUUGAACGCAAGUUGCGCCCGAAGCCAUUCGGCCGAGGGCACGCCUGCCUGGGCGUCACGCAUCG
rnacentral:rRNA from 1 species